GAUGAAGAACGCAGCGAAAUGCGAUACUUGGUGUGAAUUGCAGAAUCCCGUGAACCAUCGAGUCUUUGAACGCAAGUUGCGCCCGAAGCCAUUAGGCCGAGGGCACGCCUGCCUGGGCGUCACACGUCGUUGCCCCCCCAUCUACUCCUUCGGGAUUGCGGGGGGCGGAUGAUGGCCUCCCGUGCGCCUCGUCGCGCGGUUGGCAUAAAUGCCAAGCCCUCGGCGACGCACGCCACGACAAUCGGUGGUUGCGAAACCUCGGUUGCCCGUCGUGUGCGGUCGUCGCGCAUCGAGGGCUCGAAAAAAUUGCCGGGCUCCGGCUCGGCUUUCAACGCGACCCCAGGUCAGGCGGGGUUACCCGCUGAAUUUAAGCAUAUCAAUAAGCGGAGGA
rnacentral:misc_RNA from 1 species